rnacentral:rRNA from 1 species
AUUGAACGCUGGCGGCAGGCCUAACACAUGCAAGUCGAGCGAGCGGCGGACGGGUGAGUAAUGUAUGGGGACUGCCCGAUAGAGGGGGAUAACUACGGGAAACGGUAGCUAAUACAGCACACUAUCGGAGAACCCUUAUGGGAUUGUCUAGUAGGUGAGGUAAUGGCUCACCUAGGAGACGAUCCCUAGCUGGUCUGAGAGGAUGAUCAGCCACACUGGGACUGAGACACGGCCCAGACUCGUACGGAGGCAGCAGUGGGGAAUAUUGCACAAUGGGCGCAAGCCUGAUGCAGCCAUGCCGCGUGUAUGAAGAAGGCCCUAGGGUUGUAAAGUACUUUCGGUCGGGAGGCGUUACCGACAGAAGAAGCACCGGCUAACUCCGUGCCAGCAGCCGCGGUAAUUC